rnacentral:lncRNA from 1 species
GUUUCUUUCGCGGGCCACUGCUGGUUGCUGUGUCUCCAACCCCACCGUCUUUCAUAACAACUGAAGGGCACCAGGCAAGAAUGAAGUGUUGAGCCUCAUCAUAGCUCUGGCAGUAAGAACAUGCCACCCGGCUCUGGGUUUGCAGUGUUCCCACAGAGGUCUAGCCACGAGAAAGAGGAAAAAGCUUCUACAAUAGUCAGCAUGUGCCCAGAGCAACGGUUGGCAAAAUUACAGUUAUGAAAUAGCAG